rnacentral:rRNA from 1 species
UAAUACCGGAUGCUCCGCUCCAUCGCAUGGUGGGGUGGGAAAUGCUUUUGCGGCAUGGGAUGGGGUCGCGUCCUAUCAGCUUGUUGGGGUGAUGGCCCACCGUUGACGGGUAGCCGGCCUGAGAGGGUGACCGGCCACAUUGGGACUGAGAUACGGCCCAGACUCCUACGGGAGGCAGCAGUGGGGAAUAUUGCACAAUGGGCGCAAGCCUGAUGCAGCGACGCCGCGUGCGGGAUGGAGGCCUUCGGGUUGUAAACCGCUUUUGUUCAAGGGCAAGGCACGGUUUCGGCCGUGUUGAGUGGAUUGUUCGAAUAAGCACCGGCUAACUACGUGCCAGCCGGUAAUACGUAGGCGAGCGUUAUCCGGAUUUAUUGGGCGUAAAGGGCUCGUAGGCGGUUCGUCGCGUCCGGUGUGAAAGUCCAUCGCCUAACGGUGGAUCUGCGCCGGGUACGGGCGGGCUGGAGUGCGGUAGGGGAGACUGGAAUUCCCGGUGUAACGGUGGAAUGUGUAGAUAUCGGGAAGAACACCAAUGGCGAAGGCAGGUCUCUGGGCCGUCACUGACGCUGAGGAGCGAAAGCGUGGGGAGCGAACAGGAUUAGAUACCCUGGUAGUCCACGCCGUAAACGGUGGAUGCUGGUGUGGGGCCCUUUCCACGGUCCCGUGUCGGAGCCAACGCGUUAAGCAUCCCGCCUGGGGAGUACGGCCCAAGGCUAAACUCAAGA